GACGAACGCUGGCGGCGUGCUUAACACAUGCAAGUCGAACGGAAAGGCCCUGCUUUUGUGGGGUGCUCGAGUGGCGAACGGGUGAGUAACACGUGAGUAACCUGCCCUUGACUUUGGGAUAACUUCAGGAAACUGGGGCUAAUACCGGAUAGGAGCUCCUGCUGCAUGGUGGGGGUUGGAAAGUUUCGGCGGUUGGGGAUGGACUCGCGGCUUAUCAGCUUGUUGGUGGGGUAGUGGCUUACCAAGGCUUUGACGGGUAGCCGGCCUGAGAGGGGGACCGGCGACAUGGGGAAUUAGAGACGGCGGGGGGGCCGACGGGGGGCAGAAGGGGGGGAGGGGGAAGAAGGGUCGGGGGCUGGAAGCAGCAACGCCGGGUGCGGGAGGGCGGGCUGCGGGGUGGAGACCGCUAGCGCCGGUGACGAAGGGUGCGGGACCGGAAUUGGUAAAGAAGCACAGGCUCAGUACGGG
rnacentral:rRNA from 1 species